rnacentral:misc_RNA from 1 species
GAAACGCGAAAUGUAAUGUGAAUUGCAGAAUUCAGUGAAUCAUCGAAUCUUUGAACGCACCUUGCGCUCUCGGGUUAUUCCUGGGAGCAUGCUUGUUUGAGCUUUUAAAACCUCUCAACCCCGCUUUCGCUCGUCGAGAGUUGUCUGGGCUUUGGAUCGUGACGCUUGUCGAUGUAACAGCCGACUUCGUUGAAAUACAACAAGCUGAAUCAACACACUUGCGGCUUGACCUAUUGUUGUAACUUAAAUUCAAUAGGAACGCACUAAAGUUGAACGAGCUUACCAUAAACGCGUGCUUUGCCACACAAAGUGAUUAUUAAACUCAAAUCAAGUAGGACUACCCGCUGAACUUAA